UACAGAGGUCUCAAGCGUUGUUCGGAUUCAUUGGGCGUAAAGGGUGCGUAGGCGGCGCGGUAAGUCGGGUGUGAAAUCUCGGGGCUUAACUCCGAAACUGCAUUCGAUACUGCCGUGCUUGAGGACUGGAGAGGAGACUGGAAUUUACGGUGUAGCGGUGAAAUGCGUAGAUAUCAGGAGGAACACCAGUGGCGAAGGCGGUGCUCUGGGCCGGAACUGACGCUGAGGAGCGAAAGCGUGGGGAGCAAACAGG
rnacentral:rRNA from 1 species